AACGAACGCUGGCGGUAUGCAUAACACAGGCAAGUCGUGCGAGCCCUUCGGGGGUUGGGGCCCACGUGUGCGUAACGCGUGGGACCCCGCCCUUAGGAUCGGUAUCACUCCCCGCAAAGGGUGCGAAUACGGGAUAAGGUCUGCGGACCAACGAGUUAUCGCCUUUGGAUGAGCCCGCGUUGUAUUAGCUAGGUGGUAGGGUAAAAGCCUACCAAGGCGACGAUCCAUAGCUGGUCUGAGAGGAUGAUCAGCCACACUGGGACUGAGCCACGGCCCAGACUCCUACGGGAGGCAGCAGUGGGGAAUAUUGGACAAUGGGCGAAAGCCUGAUACAGCAAUGCCGCGUGAGUGAUGAAGGCCUUAGGGUUGUAAAGCUCUUUUACCCGGGAUGAUAAUGACAGUACCGGGAGAAUAAGCUCCGGCUAACUCCGUG
rnacentral:rRNA from 1 species